rnacentral:rRNA from 1 species
AUUGAACGCUGGCGGCAGGCCUAACACAUGCAAGUCGAACGGUAACAGGAAGAAGCUUGCUUCUUUGCUGACGAGUGGCGGACGGGUGAGUAAUGUCUGGGAAACUGCCUGAUGGAGGGGGAUAACUACUGGAAACGGUAGCUAAUACCGCAUAACGUCGCAAGACCAAAGAGGGGGACCUUCGGGCCUCUUGCCAUCGGAUGUGCCCAGAUGGGAUUAGCUAGUAGGUGGGGUAACGGCUCACCUAGGCGACGAUCCCUAGCUGGGCUGAGAGGAUGACCAGCCACACUGGAACUGAGACACGGUCCAGACUCCUACGGGAGGCAGCAGUGGGGAAUAUUGCACAAUGGGCGCAAGCCUGAUGCAGCCAUGCCGCGUGUAUGAAGAAGGCCUUCGGGUUGUAAAGUACUUUCAGCGGGGAGGAAGGGAGUAAAGUUAAUACCUUUGCUCAUUGACGUUACCCGCAGAAGAAGCACCGGCUAACUCCGUGCCAGCAGCCGCAGUAA